UACGGAGGAUCCAAGCGUUAUCCGGAAUCAUUGGGUUUAAAGGGUCCGUAGGCGGUUUGGUAAGUCAGUGGUGAAAGCCCUUCGCUCAACGGAGGAACGGCCAUUGAUACUGCCAGACUUGAAUUACUGGGAAGUAACUAGGAAUAUGGUAGUGUAGCGGUGAAAUGACUUAGAUAUUACAUGGAAUACCAAUUGCGAAGGCAGGU
rnacentral:rRNA from 1 species